UACGAAGGGGGCUAGCGUUGCUCGGAAUCACUGGGCGUAAAGCGCACGUAGGCGGAUUGCUGAGUCAGGGGUGAAAUCCUGGAGCUCAACUCCAGAACUGCCUUUGAUACUGGCGAUCUCGAGUCCGGGAGAGGUGAGUGGAACUGCGAGUGUAGAGGUGAAAUUCGUAGAUAUUCGCAAGAACACCAGUGGCGAAGGCGGCUCACUGGCCCGGUACUGACGCUGAGGUGCGAAAGCGUGGGGAGCAAACAGG
rnacentral:rRNA from 1 species